GUAAGAAAAAAAGUACGUUGAGGUUACGAAGUCACUUAGUCGAACUAGAAAACUAUAAAGAAAGGGAGGCUAAGGUUACGAAGUAAGGUCAGCUGGUUAAGGAAAGCUCAGGUUAUGAAAUCGCUUAGCCGUUAAUUAAUUUAAAAAUAAAAGAAAAAUGAAAGUAGUAGUGAGGCGUCGGUACGGAGUUGCGUCAGCUGUGGAUAUAGACUAGGCUAAGGGACGGACUUCAUCUCUUCUAUUUUCUUCACUUACACCUUACACUUCAGCUGAGUCUAACGAGGCUCAGGUGCGGAGCCUUCCACUGUGGACCGAGACUACGCAAAGGUAGAACACCAUGGAAACUUCGCUGACUUUAUCAUCAACCUUGAUUUCGCUACGCUCAAUAAGAACCCGGAAUAGCGGAAAUAGGUUCGUGUUCCGCUUCCAAAGUCAGUCGUCUUUGCCCAAGUGUGAACUGCAGACGACUCUCCAGUGGUUCCAUUCCUUCUUACUGUACUUCUGGGUCAACCCAACCCGAAUGGGAAGA
rnacentral:lncRNA from 1 species